AAAACCAAAGCAUUUAGAGCAAAUCUGACAGAGGUUAAAUGGUUUAUCAGGUCAAGAUCUAUCUGCCCUGAAAUUUUCAGAUGAAUCAGACAACCCAUUGUUAGGUUGCUGCCUUGAAUUGGUUAUUUUAAGGAAAUUUUUGCUGUUUUUGGUUAUUAUCAUGAAUAUUAUUAUAGAUAGAGAUAAACUAUAAACAGCAAAAAUGUUCAACAAAGAAAGAUUUACAAAUAAGUCAACAUGACCAAAAUGGUCAGUUGACCCCUUUAGGAGUUAUGGCCCUUUAUAGUCAAUUUUUAACCAUUUUCCGUAAAUCUUAGUUAUCUUUUACAAAAACCUUCUCUUCUGAAACUACUGGGCCAAAUUAUUCCUAACUUAGCCACAAUCAUCAUUGGGGUAUUAAGUUUUAAAAAUUGUGUCCGGUGACCCGGCCAACCAACCAAGAUGGCCACCAUGGCUAAAAAUAGAACAUAGGGGUAAAAUCAGUUUUUGGCUUAUAACUCAAAACCAAAGCAUUUAGAGCAAAUCUGACUGAGGUUAAAUGAUUUAUCAGGUCAAGAUCUAUCUGGCCUGAAAUUUUCAGAUGAAUCGGACAACCCAUUGUUGGGUUGCUGCCCCUGAAUUGGUAAUAUUAAGGAAAUUUCGCUGGUUUUGGUUAUUAUCUUGAAUAUUAUUAUAGAUAGAGAUAAACUAUAAACAGUAAUAAUGUACAGCAAAGUAAAACUUAAAUAAGUCAUCAUGACCAAAAAGGUCAAUUGACCCCUUAAGGAGUUAUUGCCCUUUAUAGUCAAUUUUUAACAAUUUAAAAUUUGUAAAUUUUCACUAACAUUAUCUACUGUAACUACUGGGCCAAGUUCAUUAUAGAGAUAAUUGCAAGCAGCAAGAAUGUUCAGUAAAGUAAGAUCUACAAACAUAUCACCAUCACAAAAACACAAUUUUGUUAUGAAUCCAUCUGUGUCCUUUGUUAAGUAUUCACAUAGACCAAGGUGAGCGACACAGGCUCUUUAGAGCCUCUAGUUUUUAUAAAGUUGCGAUAUAGUGUGGGCCGAUUGGCAAGUGGGACGAGUUGACAUUGUUUGAUAUCUACUCAUCAUGUUCGGGGGUCAUAAAGAGUAUACAUCAUAUAGUAAUAUAUAAAGUAUAUGAUAAAGGUUGUGUGGCAUUCUAAACUAGAUUUUAUGAAUUGUAAAUGUUUUUUCGUCUAAUCUUAAACAG
rnacentral:lncRNA from 1 species